rnacentral:misc_RNA from 1 species
GAUGAAGAACGUAGCGAAAUGCGAUACGUAAUGUGAAUUGCAGAAUUAAGUGAAUCAUCGAAUCUUUGAACGCAUAUUGCGCUCUCUGGUAUUCCGGAGAGCAUGCUUGUUUGAGUAUCAGUAAACACCUCAACUUCCAUAUCUUUUUUGAAAUGGGAGUUGGACUUGAGUGAUCCCAACGCUUUUCCUCACCGAAAAGUGGCGGGUUACUUGAAAUGCAGGUGCAGCUGGACUUUUCUCUGAGCUAUAAGCAUAUCUAUUUAGUCUGCCUAAAAAACAGAUUAUUACCUUUGCUGCAGCUAACAUAAAGGAGAUUAGUUCUUGUGCUGACUGAUGCAGGAUUCACAAAGACGGCUUCGGCCGACUUUGUAAACUCGAUCUCAAAUCAAGUAAGACUACCCGCUGAACUUAAGCAUAUCAAUAAGCGGAGGA